ensembl:antisense 1700100L14Rik RIKEN cDNA 1700100L14 gene
UCUUCUGUUUCACACGGUGAAGCUGCCAGCCUGCUUUGAGUGCUAGUAGGGACUCUGAAUUUGGACUUUUGAGUGACACUAGAUCUUUUAAAACAUUGGCUGCUCUUGGAGUUGGACUAGAUGCAUUUUCUAGGUAGAAUCAACUGGAAAGUGAAUCUCAACUGAGGAAAUGUCGUCAUCGGAUUGGUGUACAGACAUGCUGUGGGGCAUUUUAAUUGUCGAUAUGGAGGCUCCAGCUCACUUUGAACAGCGAUAUCCCAGCAAGAUGGUCCCGGGUGUUAGGUCUGAAAGAUGAGGUCUGUCUGGGACUGGUGUCUGCCAAGGCAUUGAUCCACAGCAUCCCCUGAGAGUCUGACCUUCACCUGGCUGCUGAGUUCACCAGAGCGCAGUCAGUCGUGUGAUCGUCCUUGAGGACAAAGAGGCACCUUGUGAUUAAAAAUCACACAGACCCUGAGAUGGAGUGGAUCAGCCUAACAACCUUGAAGUCUCCUACGAUUUUUCACCGAGGAAAUAAUGAACACACACAUCAUGAAGAAUUACGCAGCGAGGAGAGCAACACCCUCACUUUAAGAAGUCUAGACUCAGAAAUAUGAAUGUCUUUGUUCCCAAAUAUGCCAGCUGGGAGCUGUGCUCAUCAAUCACUUCAGAAAUGGUUUCUUCCAAAUAAACGACCUCUCAUACUAGGCCA